GGACGGUUACCUUACCUAACCGUCUUUUAAUCUUUACAUAAUAAAAAAAAUUAAAUUUAAAAUAUCUAAUAAAAUAUGCAGCUGUAUUCUAGAUACCCGCUUUGUAUUCUUUUACAAAUUUAUUUUACAAUAAAAAAUUAAACUUUAAUUUAAAAAUCGGCUCACGUUUAUGUUAUUUCCAAAAUCAAUAUCUCAAUUAACAAAAUCAAACCAUCAUUUUUAAGAGAAAAAAAUUACCAAAACAAGAUUUUAUUAGGCGGCAUAUCCCAGAAUCCCUCAAGAUCGAAAACCCUGCAUUAUAUGCUAGUUGUUUAGUGGGGAACUUUGUGGAACAACUAUGGAGUUUUGCUUGGCCAGCUGCUAUUGCAAUGAUCCAUCCAAGCCUUCUUCCUGUUGCAGUCAUGAGCUUUUUUACUAAGUUAUUCUUGGAGGGCCAUUAGUUGGAAAACUUAUGGAUCAUUACCCCAGAGUACAUGCAUUUAAUUUUCUAAGCUUUAUCCAGUAUUUUAACAAAGCUCUUAAGCUAGCUCAAGGAGAUGGUCGGUUACCUCAGUUCACUCCUGCAGACGAACUGCCCUGUUACCUCAGUUUACUCCUGCAGACGAACUGCCUUGUUGCUGCAGAAGCUCCAGUUGUUGCUGCUGCAGAAGCUCCGGUUGCUGCUGCUGCUGCUGCAGAAGCUCCGGUUGCUGCUGCUGCUGCUGCUGCAGAGUCACCUGUAGCGGCACGCUACAAAAGCUCUUUGAUUUUUAUUUUUUAUUUUUUAUUAUUGACAUCGGAAUGGUAUUUUUUUUUUUUUUUGUGUACCUUGUAUAGGAUUUUCUUAUUGUAUGAACAAUAGUAUUUUGUUAUUGAAGGAAAUUAUUUUUGGAAAGAUUGUGUGGAUAUCAUUUUUAUUUUAUCUAUUUAGAUUUGGUUUACGGAGCUAGGAUCGUAAUAUCCUAUGUUAGGGAUGUGCGAAAUGCUAUUUUUGAAUAAUAUUUUUUAAAAAGGGGUAGAUUAUAGAACGGUUGUAUAAGGAAAUUGCUUUCUAUUUUAAUAUUAAACAAGAAGUAUAUAGUACGCCUAUGUACGGAAGGUGUUAUGUAUCUCAAUAUUUAACAGGAAGAAUAGAGGACGGUUAUGUACGGAGG